AGAACGAACGCUGGCGGCGUGCUUAACACAUGCAAGUCGAGUGCGCGUCUGUAGCAAUACAGAUGGCGCACGGCGCACGGGUGCGUAACACGUGGGUAAUCUGCCCUCUGAUGGGGAAUAACUCGCCGAAAGGCGAGCUAAUUCCGCAUAAUAUUCCGAGAACUUAGGUUUUUGGACUGAAAGGCGUAAGUCGUCGGAGGAGGAGCCCGCGCACGAUUAGCUAGUUGGUAGGGUAAUGGCCUACCAAGGCUUUGAUCGUU
rnacentral:rRNA from 1 species